rnacentral:lncRNA from 10 species
GUGCCUGGCUGGAUCAGGGUGGGGCUGUAGAGCUGCACAUCAUAGUCUGCAUCCGGGUCAGCCCUGAAUCUCAGGCACUGGAAGGUUACCCUGAUGGGCAGGACCCACUCCCAUCACUAAGAGAACAUCAAAAGGGCAGGUGUGGGGGUGGAUAGGAAGAUCAGGAUCUCUGAAAGGAUGUUUUUCAGAAAUUUGCAUUGUGGUAACCUACAGACUCCACCUGGACCCAUGAUUCAUGACUCAACCAGUCCACCCAGAAGCUGACUCAGAGCAUAAGGAGCAUUUUCCACACCCCUAGGAUUUCAUCUCCAACCAAUCAGCAUUCCCCAUUCUCUAGCCCCUGUCCACCAAACUAUUCUUUAAAAACCUUAGCUCUAAGCUUUAUUUAUUUAUUUAAGUAAUACACUCC